CCUCACUACAGGCAUCCCACCUUCCUCUGAUUGCCAGUCCACAAGAUACAAGAAAUAUGUACAGGAUAAUACAGUGCAUCUCAUCUUAACAGAAUAUCAUUUCCAGUCAUGGGUAAAACAGAAAUAUUUC
rnacentral:lncRNA from 1 species